AUUCUAUGAUGUGGGCAUUUCCUUAGUAGUAACUUAAAACAUUCACAUGCUUCAUAUAGGUUCUCGCCUUCGAUUUUCUUGAAUUUGGAAAUGCCACACCUCAACU
rfam:Gossypium raimondii Chr03_contig_299, whole genome shotgun sequence.